rnacentral:lncRNA from 1 species
GUGUAUGAAUUAUGGUGCAUAAGAGACUUCUUAUAGAAGGACUCUCCUUUUUCUAUGUGCCAUAAAAAUCUCAUUCAAUUUUGGUGACAAAUCAUAGGAUUUCUGGUUUAUCUUUUAAGGCAACGCGUAUAGUUAAGAGCCUUCAUGAAGAAGGACUCUCCAACUUCACAUGCAAAAAAGAGGUGGGGUGGCAUUUAUUUUUGGUGUGACUUUUGAUAGGCAUAGAGGAGUCCUUCUCCACUUGAAACUGUUUCAAGUUCGAUAAGGAUCCAAUCUAAAUUGACCCAAUCCCAUUA